CGGCGAGUGAAGCGGCAACAGCUCAAAUUUGAAAUCUGGUCACCUUACGGAGGCCCGAGUUGUAAUUUGAAGAGGAUGCUUUUGGCGAGGUGCCUUCCGAGUGCCCUGGAACGGGACGCCACAGAGGGUGAGAGCCCCGUAUGGUUGGACACCGAGCCUAUGUAAAGCUCCUUCGACGAGUCGAGUAGUUUGGGAAUGCUGCUCAAAAUGGGAGGUAAACCCCUUCUAAAGCUAAAUAUUGGCCAGAGACCGAUAGCGCACAAGUAGAGUGAUCGAAAGAUGAAAAGCACUUUGAAAAGAGAGUUAAACAGCACGUGAAAUUGUUGAAAGGGAAGCGCUUGCGACCAGACUUGCGCCCGUCGGAUCAACCGUCGCUUGUCGGCGGCGCACUCCGGCGGGCUCAGGCCAGCAUCAGUUUUCCCGGGGGGAGAAAGGCGGUGGGAAUGUAGCUCCUAGGAGUGUUAUAGCCCGCCGCGUAAUACCCUCGGGGGGACUGAGGACCGCGCAUCUGCAAGGAUGC
rnacentral:rRNA from 1 species